rnacentral:SRP_RNA from 1 species
GUCCGGGAACCUGACAAUAAAGACCUGCGAACCUUGUCAGGACCGAAAGGUAGCAGCAAUAAGCAGAUAUCUUUAUGUGUUCGGGAUUUCCCGGGCCCC